AGUGAACGCUGGCGGCGUGCUUAACACAUGCAAGUCGAACGAGAACGGAAUAUAGCUUGCUAUAUUUGUCAGCUAAGUGGCGCACGGGCGAGUAAUGUAUAGAUAACCUGCCCUUAAGAAAGGAAUAACAGUUGGAAACGACUGCUAAUGCCCUAUAUGCCUUUAAUACAUAAGUAUGCAAGGGAAACGCUUUAGUGCUUAAGGAUGGGUCUGUAUGGUAUCAGCUUGUUGGUGAGGUAAUGGCUCACCAAGGCUAUGACGCCUAACUGGUUUGAGAGGAUGAUCAGUCACACUGGAACUGAGACACGGUCCAGACUCCUACGGGAGGCAGCAGUGGGGAAUAUUGCAAAUGGACGAAAGUCUGAUGCCGCAACGCCGCGUGGAGGAUGACACAUUUCGGUGCGUAAACUCCUUUUAUAUAGGAAGAUAAUGACGGUACUAUAUGAAUAAGCACCGGCUAACUCCGUGCCAGCCGCCGCAGUAA
rnacentral:rRNA from 1 species